rnacentral:rRNA from 1 species
ACGAACGCUGGCGGCAUGCCUAACACAUGCAAGUCGAACGAGACCUUCGGGUCUAGUGGCGCACGGGUGCGUAACGCGUGGGAACCUGCCCUUAGGUUCGGAAUAACUCCCCGGAAGGGGUGCUAAUACCGGAUAAUGUCUUCGGACCAAAGAUUUAUCGCCUUUGGAUGGGCCCGCGUUGGAUUAGCUAGUUGGUAGGGUAAAAGCCUACCAAGGCGACGAUCCAUAGCUGGUCUGAGAGGAUGAUCAGCCACACUGGGACUGAGACACGGCCCAGACUACUACGGGAGGCAGCAGUGGGGAAUAUUGGACAAUGGGCGAAAGCCUGAUCCAGCAAUGCCGCGUGAGUGAUGAAGGCCUUAGGGUUGUAAAGCUCUUUUACCCGGGAUGAUAAUGACAGUACCGGGAGAAUAAGCUCCGGCUAACUCCGUG